UUGAAAGGGAAACGAUUGAAGUCAGUCGUACCUGUGGGUAAUCAGCCUUUUGGGUGUGAUUUUGUGGAGUGUGAGGAGUUAAACGCCUUCAUGCCUGCAUAUUCGUGCACUUUGGGUGUAUUUACCCGUGUGGUAAGUUAACAUCAAUUUCGGUGGUCAUAAAAUGGCUGGAGGAAUGUAGCUUCGAUCUUGUAUUGAAGCGUUAUAGCCUUCGGUAGAUGUGAUAAUCGGGAUUGAGGAUUGCAACGGAUACCCUUCGGGGCUACCUGUCUGAUCUCUGAUCGUUGCUCUGGUGCCGAAAGCUUGCUUACGGUUAUCAAAGUCGAUGGUCAAUAGGUUAGAAUGGGUUAAAUUCGUUAAGGAUGUUGACGUA
rnacentral:rRNA from 1 species